rnacentral:rRNA from 1 species
CCAGACUCCUACGGGAGGCAGCAGUGGGGAAUAUUGCACAAUGGGGGAAACCCUGAUGCAGCGACGCCGCGUGAGCGAUGAAGUAUUUCGGUAUGUAAAGCUCUAUCAGCAGGGAAGAAAAUGACGGUACCUGACUAAGAAGCCCCGGCUAACUACGUGCCAGCAGCCGCGGUAAUACGUAGGUGGCAAGCGUUAUCCGGAUUUACUGGGUGUAAAGGGCGUGUAGGCGGGGACGCAAGUCAGAUGUGAAAACCAUGGGCUCAACCUGUGGCCUGCAUUUGAAACUGUGUUUCUUGAGUACUGGAGAGGCAGACGGAAUUCCUAGUGUAGCGGUGAAAUGCGUAGAUAUUAGGAGGAACACCAGCGGCGAAGGCGGUCUGCUGGACAGCAACUGACGCUGAGGCGCGAAAGCGUGGGGGGCAAACAGGAUUAGAUACCCCCGUAU